AGUGAACGCUGGCGGUAGGCCUAACACAUGCAAGUCGAACGGCAGCACAGUAAGAGCUUGCUCUUACGGGUGGCGAGUGGCGGACGGGUGAGGAAUACAUCGGAAUCUACUUUUUCGUGGGGGAUAACGUAGGGAAACUUACGCUAAUACCGCAUACGACCUACGGGUGAAAGCAGGGGAUCUCCGGACCUUGCGCGAUUGAAUGAGCCGAUGUCGGAUUAGCUAGUUGGCGGGGUAAAGGCCCACCAAGGCGACGAUCCGUAGCUGGUCUGAGAGGAUGAUCAGCCACACUGGAACUGAGACACGGUCCAGACUCCUACGGGAGGCAGCAGUGGGGAAUAUUGGACAAAGGGCGCAAGCCUGAUCCAGCCAUACCGCGUGGGUGAAGAAGGCCUUCGGGUUGUAAAGCCCUUUUGUUGGGAAAGAAAAGCAGCAGGUUAAUACCCCGCUGUUCUGACGGUACCCAAAGAAUAGGCACCGGCUAACUUCGUG
rnacentral:rRNA from 1 species